rnacentral:tRNA from 1 species
ACUCCUGUAGCCCAAUCGGCAGAGGCGGCUGUCUCAAAAACAGUCAGGUGCGGGUUCAAAUCCCGCCAGGAGUACCA